ACUUUGGUAGUGCAAUCAGUAGGACUCCAGAUUGGACAUCUGUAGAUGAGGGUUCGAGCCCUCACGAGGUU
rnacentral:tRNA from 1 species